GUGGGGAAUUUUGGACAAUGGGCGCAAGCCUGAUCCAGCAAUGCCGCGUGCAGGAAGAAGGCCUUCGGGUUGUAAACUGCUUUUGUACGGAACGAAACGGUCCGGGUUAAUACCCUGGGCUAAUGACGGUACCGUAAGAAUAAGCACCGGCUAACUACGUGCCAGCAGCCGCGGUAAUACGUAGGGUGCAAGCGUUAAUCGGAAUUACUGGGCGUAAAGCGUGCGCAGGCGGUUGUGUAAGACAGGCGUGAAAUCCCCGGGCUCAACCUGGGAAUUGCGCUUGUGACUGCAAGGCUGGAGUGCGGCAGAGGGGGAUGGAAUUCCGCGUGUAGCAGUGAAAUGCGUAGAUAUGCGGAGGAACACCGAUGGCGAAGGCAAUCCCCUGGGCCUGCACUGACGCUCAUGCACGAAAGCGUGGGGAGCAAACAGGAUUAGAAACCCGAGUAGUCC
rnacentral:rRNA from 1 species